rnacentral:lncRNA from 1 species
AGAUAAUUCUCAAGAAAAUGACUUUCGUCAUUAUGUUGAUUUAUGCUGCUGGUUAAUUAUUCUUUUUUUAGAAAUAAUAAACUUAUGGAUAUGACACACAAACAUGUGUGUAUAUAUAUAUAUAUAUAUAUAUAUAUAUAUAUAUAUAUAUAUAUAUAUAUAUGUGUGUGUGUGUGUGUGGGUGNAUGUUAAUUACAUAAUAUUUUUUUUGUUAUAAUAGGUAUGACGAGCUUCCCACAAGUCGCACAUGGUUCUUGUAGUAAAGAUUCUGACUGUGAUUUUAUUGAACCUCCUUGUCCUUUUGAUGCAUAUGCUGUAUGCAUUUGGAAAACCUGUUAUUGUAUUGGGUAUGAUCAAGCAAUGCCACCAACUAUUCCUGCCAUUCAACUUAAUGAUGUUAAAGCUCAAGAAAAACACUAUUAAUCUUAGGUUUUAUGCUUUGCGGAUUUAUACAUAGUCGUGAGUAACACAAGUGUAAAUAUAUUGAAGCAUUCAAGUGAUGUUUUGAAAUAAAAGAUGUGUGAUCUUAUUUAAAUAUCAAAUUAAUCCAAUUGCUACAUUGGUAAAUCAAAUGGUCUUUUAGAUCAAUAGUUAGUUGGUAAUAAUGUACUUCGUUGAACUUGAUAGUCAGAUAUCUUAUUAUAAAUAUAGUCAUAUUAAUAAUAAUAAUACAAGGAAUGUUAUUUUAAAAACUAGUUGGAUUAUAUAGCAUGCGAAACUGUAACUCCCUAAAUUUUCAAUGAGAUUUUUGAUUUGAAAAUAGAUUAACUGAUUACAACCUUCAACUUAAAAUAACAUAUCUGACAUUCAUUAAUUUGAAACCAUUAUGUUAUCAGAGUUGAAUUACAAGAAAGCGGAAAUCAUUAUCGUCAAUGCGUGUGUAAGCGACUCGAAGAAGUUGAAUUAAUCCUCAAAUAAAAAGUACGCGACUCGAAGAAGAAACGAACACCAUCACACUGCAACUAAUCGACCUCAAGAGGCACUCAACCCUUAAUCACAAUUUGAAGACUUCUAGAUCAUAACUGAUUUCAAGGAAAACAAGGCCACUCCACACAUCAAUGAUGUUGACAGAAUGUUCACAAAAUCAGUACUUCCAAGGUUUUCCAGGUCUCACGCCGUCUCAAUGAUAAUUGAGUACAUCAUCCAUAAUCCACAGUCGAUCUCGAUAACCUCACAUACAGACUCAAGAAAAAAUAUGAACCAAUAAAGGCUAAACUAGCCUACACAUCCCCUUGGUUCAAAAGCCCUGCAUCUAGACAUGAAGAUAAAUAAACAAAACAACAACAAUUUUGAUCAACCCAUCCCAAAUUCAGAUAUCAUGACUGAGGUACUCAAAUACAAACACAACUUCCUGAAAAGUCGUAACUAACUAAUUGCUCCCACAAACAUAACCAUGGUCAAUACCUAAACUCGCAUGACACUCAAGUUCCCAAAAUAGCUCAGGUGUAUAAUCAUUUGUCGAAAGUCAAAACACCGAAGAGACUUAUAACUACUCGCAUCACCAGUAACAUAACUCACAUGAAAACAUAUCAUAAAACAAACAUGAAUCCACUAAGAAGAAUCCCAAUAAUGAGCUGCUAAUAUACCACAAUGACUUUUCCAGCAAGUCUGUAACAACUUGUUAUUUCAGGUCAACAAAAGUCAGUAGAAGUCAACAAAGAUUAACGAAUGUCAAUCAAUGGGAAAAUAGUUAGAACAAUUUGAUUUAAAUAUGUUAAAUUAUAUUUAUUAAUGUAUUUUGGUUAAGAAAUCAAAUACAUCAAAAUCCGAGAAAUCUCGCAUAAGACAAAACCCUCGGACCGAAAACGGUUUACGGUGUGGACCGAAAUCAACACCGCAAACCCUCGCAUACGCCAAGUGCUUCGGACCGAAAUCAUUCCCACUAAAAUCGCCUUUGGACCGCAAUCGUCUUUGGACAACAAACCCUCACCUCGUUCUCGGUGGACCCAAGACCGAAAUCCCUCGGUAUUAUCCUUUGGCACGCAAUUCUAGAGGAUAAAAUACAUAUUCCAAUGCAUGUGUCACAUCAUAUUUCUUCCAUAUUUAUAUAUUAGACCGAAAACACAUCCUCAUUCUCACAUAUCUUAGCCAAAAACACCACCUUUUCUCUCAAAAACUCAUGUGAAAUCACCCUCUUUCCUCUCAAGUAUCAUACAAAAACUCACUUGAAUCUUCAUAAGAUCUUGUCAAAGAUCUUCAAGUGUUCUUAAUAUCCUUAGAAAUUACCAUCCAAUCUUCUUAUUACCAACCGAAAACACCCUAAUCUCCUUAUUUCCACCAAGAACACCGAGAAUACACAAGCAACCGAAAACACCUAUUUUCGGAUAAAUCUAACGCUUUUUGUAAGUGUUUCUUACAUGAUUCUAGUGUUAUUUAUCACUUAAAUUGAUAUCUUAUUAGUUUGAGUUCUAUAUAGGGGAUAAUUAUUGUUAGGACACGACUACUCGCUCUGGUCUUAACUUAAGGAUCAUUACUACUACACCGUAUCUCCACAUGAACACCCACUUAAGGUGAGUUCAUACCCCUAUGUUUUUACUAUUUUUAAAUGUUUUAGGGGGGGGGGNNNNNNNNNNNNNNNNNNNNNNNNNNNNNNNNNNNNNNNNNNNNNNNNNNNNNNNNNNNNNNNNNNNNNNNNNNNNNNNNNNNNNNNNNNNNNNNNNNNNNNNNNNNNNNNNNNNNNNNNNNNNNNNNNNNNNNNNNNNNNNNNNNNNNNNNNNNNNNNNNNNNNNNNNNNNNNNNNNNNNNNNNNNNNNNNNNNNNNNNNNNNNNNNACACGUCCGCACAAUAGUUGUUCAUCCACAUUAUAAUAUAUAUAUAUAUUGUCACACCCCCGAACCAGACGACGGAAAUGUCCGAUGGCUCGUGUGACUAAAAUUGAAUAUCAUCACAAUGAAUAUACAUGAAACAUAACAUAAACAUCACCAUCCAUUAAUACUUUACAACUGACCUUGUUCACAUCAAGUACAUUGUCUAAAUAUUACAUUUCCAAAACAUAAAUUGUUUGAGAGUUUUCAAAACAUAACAUCCUAACACACUUGGUAAUGUUCUUCAACUUAUCUGUUACCUGAGAAUACAAGUUAUUUUGAAAACGUCAACAUAUGGAAUGUUGGUGAGUUCAUAAGCAGGGUUGAUAUGAAAAUGUUUUGUGCAGUUUAUAAAACCCAGAAAAUCCGAUAUUUUUUUAAACGACCAUUGUUUAUACAAAAGUGUGAAGAUCCAUCGGUUUAUGCAUGAAUGAUUUCAAAGCGUGUAUAAAUGAGAAGUUUUUGCAUUAUAGUUAUUGAAAAUACAAGUGAAUAGUGUUGAUUUCCCCCAAAAUCUGAUGUUUUUCGAUAAAAUAGUAUGAUUGUUUCGAAUUAUUAUACCGCUACAACAAAUGAUUAUGAAUUCCCUUGAUUACUUAGAUAGUAUUGGAUUUAUUAUGUGAGUCGUUAUAACCAUGCAUGAUAAUGACUAGUUCGUCUGUCUUGGCAUUCUGUUGAACGCCUGAAUUGAUCUUAAGAUUUUGUCACCCUAGACUGGCCGAGUCUAACUGUAGCGGACAACCGAGGUGUGGGGGAGUCACCCCCGUAUAGAUCUAUACACAAACUCUCGCUCUCCCUCCAGGAGACUUUGAUUAUAACUACAGACUAUGACCGACACUUAAAGGUGUCGCCCAUUAUUACUCACUUAACCCAAACGAAUUUGAUUACCAUUGAUUAACGACCUGAAUUUGUUUACUUGAAUUGAAUGUAAGCCUAACAGACGAGGAGAAGAGGAUUACGAGGUCCUACUAAUUACAUAUGUUAUUUAAGGCUGUUGGGUAUUACGAAGGACGCGUUGGCCCAUUUCGCAUAUGAUUUAUUUGGACCUUACUAGCAAUGUUAAUGGGCCACUGAGGCCCAAUAGCACGUAAAAGCCAUUGAGGGUCCCUUAAGCAUGUAAUUGGGUCACAGGAGGCCUAAUAGACAUGUAUUAUUAUUGUUAGGCCCAAAAGUUAUGUUAAUGGGUUACGAAAGCCCAAUAAGCAUGAUUAGAAUCUUUUAAGCCCAACAAUUUGAAUAUUUACUUGUUUUAGGUAUAGUAUAAUUGGCGGAAGUUUGAUUGUACAAUUGUUAAAUCGUAAAGACACGAGGUUUGUCGAUUGUUUAUAACGAUAUUUGAAAAUAUAUGUAUAUUCUUCAUUCUAUUUUCAUAAGUUAUAAUUUGGUAUUUUUGACCAAAAUAUCUUAAUAAUAAAACAAUUGACUCAAAAAUAUUGGUUUGACCUAUUCAGCCAUUCUUUAAUAAAAAUGAAAAUCUUAGUCCCUUUUUAUAAAAAAAAUGACAUUUUAGGCCCUUAAACUAUUUUCUUGACCUUUUUGGCCCAUACACUUAUUUGAAUAAUGUUUUUAACCCAAAAUUUACUCUUUGGCAGUUUCAGCCCCUUUAGUAAAGAAUUUUCAUUUAAAGUCCAAACUUUUCGCAAAUUUUACAAUUUUGACCCAAAAUCCAAAAACUUUGCAUUUUUGAUCCUUUUUGGCAAAAAGGUCAUUUUAACCCCUGAAAUAGAUUUAUUUACCUUUUUACCCACUUUUUUGAGAAAUUUACCAUUUCAACCCCUUAAAACACAUUUUUUCGCAAUUUUGGGCCUAUGGGCCGAAAAGCCCAAAAAUUGGCCCAUUAGGCUACAAUUUACAUUUCUAGUCCUUCGAAGAGCAUAAUAUUCAUAAAAACAUCUAUUUUAACUGUUUUGACCCUUUUGGUCCUUUUGAAACCAUGAAUGACAACCUUUAACCCAACUUUUGUUUAUUUGACAAUUAUAGCCCAAAAAUGAGCUUUAUGUUGUAAUAUGUUUAAUAUAACCUUAGAGGGUUAUUUUUCUUGACUUGUUUAAUGUAAUAUAUCUUUGAUCGCGUUUAUUUUCCUCCUUGAGCUAUAGAUCUCAAAAUUUCUUUCCUCUUUGGCACAUAUACCACAUAAACACAUGAAAUCACACAUAACAUACACAUACACAUAGAUCUAUACAUUUUACUUGUAUUCUCCCCCAUAAAACUUGUGAAAACCGAAAAUAAAGGGGUAUGAACUCACCUUUGCUUGUUGUUUUUGGUUUUGAAGAAAGAAUGGAAGAGUUUGAUGUUGUUUUCGGCCCUAGAAAGCUUCUUGAGAAGACUUUGGCUUAGAUAGGUUCUAAGAAGCAUGAUCAUGAACUUUCAUGAGUUAUAAGGAGAUUUAUAAAAGAUUCAAGAAGCUAAACCAUGGAUCUAAGCAUCAACUUACCUAGAAUGAUGAUUUUUGUGGAAGAACCUCCUUGAAAUGCCCUAGAUCUCGAAAUUUUGAUGGAGGGAAGGAAAGUGUUCUUGAAUGUAUACUUAGAAAGAGUUUUGAGUUAUGUGUGUGUGUGCCUCUUGUCUUUCGGCCGAGAGAUGAUAAGAAAAGGGAAGAAGAAAGAGAGUGAUGCUUGAAAUGAUGGUGCAUGGGAAAAUGAGAGUUCAUGGGUGUAUGUUGUGUAUUAGGCAUGUAGGACUAAUGGUUAUUAGUGAGGUGGCACCUCACUAAUUACUCUUAUCACAAUUCUUUUUUUUCCUACUUAGGCCGAGAGAGAGGGAGAAGAGAAAGAAUUUUGGGCCUUUAAUGCUUGAGUCCAUAAUAUGGGUCCAAUUUGAUGGUUUUUGCCUUUUAGAGAAUUUCACGGCCUAAUACACAUCAAGGGAUGAGUUUUAUGACCUAUUAGGGCUAAUUAGAGUUGUUAUGGCCCAAUAAUGCCCAUUUAGGUAAACUAUUUUAUUUUAGGCCCAUUAUGGCCUAAAUGUUAAAUUUUGUGAAAGUGGGUCCAAUUAGAGCCCAUUUAAGGGUUCUAAGCCUAAAAUAGUCAAUUUGGAAGCUUAUUAGUCCAUUAGGCCCAAUAAGGAAGUCCUAGUCCAAAAUGGACUUACUCCGGGAUUUUUAGGGUUUCCAAGCUUUUGUUGACUAUUUGAAUGUUUGUAUAGAGUAUUUGAUGGAAUUUUUUUUGUCAUUGAAUAAGCACCAUACAUGUUUUCAAGUUUUAGCUAUAAUGUUAUCUUGGUUAAGGGUUUUACAAAGCAUCAGAAUUCCUAGUUGUGACAUAUAUAUAUAUAUAUAUAUAUAUAUAUAUAUAUANNNNNNNNNNNNNNNNNNNNNNNNNNNNNNNNNNNNNNNNNNNNNNNNNNNNNNNNNNNNNNNNNNNNNNNNNNNNNNNNNNNNNNNNNNNNNNNNNNNNNNAUAAAUCACUUCAAUCAAUUUAAUACCCUUUGUAACAUGCCGAGCAAAUGGGUAUUCUCAUGAAUAUUUCAUUUCAAACAAAAUAAACAUAUAAACUAUAAUAGGUAUAAUUUAUGGAACACUUACACUAUUUUACCAAGUCAAGAUACGAUACUAAACUAAACACUCUCGUACAAUUACUUUACACAACGAGUAUACUAGAAAAGGACCAUACUUUCAGUUCAUUUAUUACAAAAUGACUUUUCAUUAUUCUUCACGUAACCGUCGAUAUGGUUUUUGUGAGAUAACGUUCACGUCCUUAUUUAAGUACUAUUAAAGUCCUGAUGGUAAUAACCAGAAUCUCCCAAUAAAGAACGAGACAAAUGUGUAUAGAUCCAUACGGGACUGAAAAUCCCACACCUAAACUGUUCGCUACAGUUAGGCCGGCAGGCCUGGGGUGACAAAUGUCAUUACAAUUUUGGACGCUUGAAAAAUGUCGUAUCAGGCCUUCCUGGUCUUAGUAUGGUUAUAAUGACUCGCAAAAAGAUAUUAGCAAUACGAUUAGUGUAUGAAUACUUUAACAAAGGGUUUUAUUAAAUAAUAAAACUACAACAUAACGAUUUACAAGUACAAUACUAUGACUUACAAUUACAGCUGGUGGAUCCAGGCACAUACACAAUUACAGAGAACAUACUAGUUUACAAUAUAGGGAAACAUAACAAUGUAGAAAAUAGUCUUUAUAUAGUUUUAUUGUGAAUUAAAACUACGUUACACUAUAACAUAGUACAACAACAAAUACACCGUUUCGUUUUAUGGUAUUAACACUACUUUUUCAGUUAUAUUAGAAAAUAUUGGAUUUUCUGGUACAACAUACUUACACCUUCAAGAAUCAAUUAACAAACUUCUAUUACAAAUGUUUAUGAACUCACCAACUUAAAUGUUGAUACUCUAUUUUCAAAACACUUGUAUUCUUAGGGAACCAGUAGACAUGUACACCCACAAGUUUUGAGAAGACAGAGCAAUAUAUAUUCACGUCUUUUAGUUUUUGCUAUACAUUUUGGUGUCUAUAUACAAUGAUUUGAACACUUGUGUAAUAACUUAUACUCUAUUAAUACAAUGGUUGUUGUGCUUUGAUUAGUAUUAUGCAAUUGUUGUGAUACUUAAACAUGAAGUCAUCCACCCUCGAACGUUUCCGCCGUUCAGGUUUGGGGGUGUGACAGAUUGGUAUCAGAGCAUUGUUUAUAGUGAACUCAGUAUAUCAAACCACAAAAGAUAUACAAAUAUAAAUACAAUGGGGCUGAAACAUUCUUAAUAAAAGUAUACUUUUCAAAUAUAAGUAUUUUACAAGAAGUACACUAACAUGCAUACAUACCAGAAACAAUAUCACAGUCAGAACUACAUAAAAAUAUUUGGAUGUUGGACACUGUAGUUAAACUUAGACAGUUAUGUAAUCAUAUCUGGGAUAAAUAUAGCUUGAUCAACUAUAUUUAUUUGAGAUACGACCAACAUGUGUUUGGGAGUGAUGGUAGUGUUGCAACAAGUCUAAAACUUACCAACUCUAUAUACAGAAAAACUCUAGAACCAAACAUAAAGUGAAAAUACUAUAGGAUUAUUUUAAGGCACUACAAUACUAGAACCAACUAUGUGAAAACCAAGGACCCUUGCUAGUAGAUAUAUAAGUGCUAAGUGUAUACAUUACAAUUAUAUAUAAUUAAGGUUUUAUAGACUUAUAAUUUGUGGUUUAGCUUUACUUCAUUUUCCUUGUUUGGAUGUGGAUAUAGAGUAGGAUCAUUUAUUCGAAGGUCUACUUGACCCGAGUUAUAUAUAAUUAGAAUACACUAUUUAGUUAUAUGGGGACCCAGUAUGGGUCAUACUGUACAUAAUUCAUUAACAAUAUAACUAUAGGUUUCUUAUAUUGAAACUUGAAAUUUUUUACUUGCUUUAGUAAACUGCUACUCAUCAAUGGAACAUUAUUAAAGUCAGGAUAAUAUUCUUUAGGAACUAAGAUAUAUCUUGUUCAAUAUCACUUGACUCAUAAACACUGUAGGGGGCUUAUCAUUAAUUCCUCUUUAAACCAUAUAGCGAAAGAUGCCGCCAAGAAGAAAUUUAAGGCGUAUCAAUACCACUGCAGCAUCACCUCCACCUCCAUUACCACCACCACCUCCACAAUUUGACUCUGCUAUAUUCCAAGCAGUAGUCGUAACCGCCGUGGCAGCCGCCAUGACGCACAUUAAUACAACUGGUAUUAGUGGAUCGGGUAGUGGUGCUCAUCCUUCUAACCAAGGAGAAAGUCAUGGACACCCAAGGUAGUGUUCUUAGAAAGACUUCACCAAUGGCAAAGCCAAAUCUUUUGAUGGAACCAGGGGAGUCAAUGCCUUAACACAAUGGAUCGAGAAAACAGAAGCAGUCUUUGAAAUCUGCUCGUGCCCUGAAGGGAGCAAAGUGAAGUUUGCUGCUUGCACCUUCUUUGACCUAGCCCUCACAUGGUGGAAUGGCCAUGUCAAGUCACUGACUCUUAUAUUGGCUAACUCAAUGGGCUGGGAAAAUUUGAAAACAAUGAUGAUGCAAGAGUACUACCCGAGGGGUGAAGUACAAAAGCUUGAGCAAGAACUUUGGGGCCUUACCAUGACAGGUUCUGACAUAGCAACUUAUACCACUAGAUUUAGCGAUCUAGCAACUCUAUGUCCUGGGAUGGUUACCCGGGAGAGUAAGAAAAUUGAGAGGUACAUCUGGGGACUAUCAUAUCAGAUCCAAGGAAAUGUGCUAGUGUAACACCCCAUUUAUUUAUUUAAUAAAUAAAUAAAUUACUGAAGGAAUAGUAGCCUAAAAUCCAUAAUAAUUGAGCAAGGCGUUGUUCUCAAGGAGUUAAAAAGGUUAUAAUUGGAAGUUUAAGGGGUUAAAAUAUAAUUUUCGGAUUAGUUUGUAAAGAAUUUUGGAGGUUGGGGGCUUUGUAGUAAAUUAUGGGCUUAUUAUGAAAAGGAAUACUGGAAUAAAGGGCCAAAUAGUAAUUUCUCACUUCAUUUGAAAAUAAAUGUUGAGAGAGGAGCUACUUGGUAAAAGUUGGACUUAAAUUGUAAAGGUUUUAAGAGGCAGGGUCCAAAUGGUAAUUUAUGGGUUCAUUUUGAAAGAAAAAGGGAAAGGAGGGGCUAGACUUGUCAUUAUGAAUGUAUGUUUGGGGGAUCAGGGUAUAUAAACCGUCACCCCACCCGCUUCAAACCCUAACCCUAAAGGAAGUCCCAGCCGCCACCUUAUGCCUCUCUCAUCGGCCGCCACCUUACCUCCUUGCUUCUCUGACCAACCAAGUCACCGGCAAACCAUGGAUGUGAAGAUCAAUGAGGUUGCAAUAUCGUGUUCCUACGGUGCCACCGUUGUUGAUGAGGUCACAAAUCUACCCCCACGGCUGUUGUAGCUGUUCCAAAUCGCUGCCAUUCUUCUUCUCUUCUUUUAUUUAUCCCGUUACCUGCCGCCUUCUAGGUGGAGGAACUCUUGGCGUUUCCUGCUAUCAUCGGUGAAUGGUGGUAUGGUUCAAGUCUCGUGUGCGACGUGAGUGCGUUGUGGGGGAAGUUAUGUCGAGAAGGGUCACGGAGAACCACCAUGGCAGCCGGCCAUGGUGACUGUCAUCGCAAUCCCGCCGUUGUGGCUGGAUCCGUUUGCAAACUAGAAAGCGUGUGGGUGUUUGUUUUUGCUAUGGUGUGUGUGUUGUGUGUGUAGUUGUUUGGCUGGAAAAACUAAUAACCACCACCACCACCACCACCGUGAGGUGGUGGUUCCCACCAUGCACCACCGUGUGUUUAUUUGAGAUUUAGCAUUGUAAAGUGUAAUUACAAAUUAGAAUAAUGAAAGGAAAAUUGAAAACCACCACCGUGAAGUGGUGGCUGCCGCCCCCUGCCGCCACCCGNNNNNNNNNNNNNNNNNNNNNNNNNNNNNCCACCGGCCGCCGUGUCGGGUGGCGGUGUGCUUUGAUGGUGUUUUGACUCGUUUGGAUGGUUGGACAAAGGGAGUAAGGGGCUAAGAAACCGUAAUGGGCCCAAUGAGGCUUAAUGGGCUUAAUAAACCCUAAUGGGCCCAAUGAAGCUUAAUGGACCUAAAAGCCCAAACACAUGACUAAUGGGCCUAGUGAAACCUUAAUAAGUCUAAUGAACCUUAAUCGAUCAAAAGACAUAUCAAUUGGGCCUAUUGGGCUAAGAUGGGGUUGGAAACCCUAAUUAGAUUUUAGAAAACCCUAAUAUUGGAUUUAUUGGGACCCACUUUUGGGCCAUUGGAAUGGAACUGUGUGAUUAAGCCCAAUCACACCCUAUGACUUAUUUAGAAGAAUGAUGGACUUAAUGGAUUAAGUCCUUAAUGGGUUAAGUGAGAAAGACUUAACCCUAAUCGUCAUUUUAUGUGAAAAACCCUAAUUUCACUUGGGUUUAUUGUUGGGCCUUUUAUUGGUCCUUGAUGAUUGGAUAAUUAAUGGGAUUUGAGGUAAGGCCUGUCUGAGGAGUUGGGCCCAAUUUGGAAAAUUGGGCCAUAGAUGGGCCCUGGUUUGGGCCUUUGUGAUUAUGUGAUAUUGGGCCAUUAGAAUGUCGAAUGUUGGACGGGACUAAAUGGUUGGGCCUUAUGGUAAGACAUUAUAAAGGUUUGGGUCCAAUUUGGAAAAUUGGGUCAUGUGUCGGGCUUUGACUCAUAGUUGACUUUUAGGCCUUUGGAUUGGGCCUUGGGCUUGAAUAAAGCUAAGUUAGGGGUAAAGUAGUAUUUAACCCCAAGUAUUUAUUUAUGUGUUGGAACCCAAUUAUUAAUUGGGUGAUGUUUUGAUGUUGACAGAUUGGGAAUCUGUCAUCCAGCAGCUGGGGGCUAUGUCUACGGGACUUCAACAGUGUGAGGUGAGUUAUCUUCCAGUAGGGGUGGGUCUAAGGCACCAAUGCCGACCCACUAGCAGGUGAUUAUGUUGGAGAUGAUUGUAUUUGUGAUAAUUAUCUGGUUGCCAUUAUUUGAUAUGCUUAUUGUGCUGGGAUGCUAUGAGAUAUGUGUUAGUAGUAGUAGGGGUGCAAUAGUCCCCAGUUACCGGUUGAAAGAUACCGAAGACGGUUACCGGUUGAAAGAUACCGAAGGGGUGGACAAAACCUAUGCAUGCCUAGUAGUAUGUUUAUGAUAUGUUUUUAUGUGACCUGUAUGGUUAUGAUAUGCCAAUAUGUGAGCAGUAUGUUUAUGAUAUGAUAUUAUGUGACUAGUAUGGUUAUGAUAUGCCAUUAUGUGAUUCAAUUUGUUUAUGUUAUGUUAUCAUGGAACUAAUAUGUUUAUGACCUGUUAUUAUGUGAUAGUGAUAGGGGUGAAAUAGUCCCCGGAUACCGGUUGAAAGAGACCGAAGGGGAGGUUAGUUCCCGAGUAUCGGUUGAAAGAUAUCGAAGGGGAGUCUAGCUCCCAGUUAUGCCAGACAGAUACCAGUUGAAAGAUACCGAGGGAUAGGUUUUAUGUGGUAUGAUGGGGGAACUCACUAAGCUUUUUUUCUUACAUUUUUUAGUUUUUGUUUCAGGUACUUCGUUUUCAAGAGAAAGGAGCUGGCUCGAUCGCAACGCAUGACACUAUGGUUUUCCGCACAUGAGAUCUUUGGGAUUACACUAUGAUAUUGUUUAUGAUAACAUGUUUUGGUUAGUUCUACUUUGGUUUUGACAUGACAUGAUAUUAUGGAUGUUUUCUUAGACUUUUGGUUUUAUAAUAACCUAUUUGAAAAUGAAAAUUUUGGCCUUGAAUUUUAGGAUGUUACAGCUAGCAUCGAAUCCUGUUACAUUCGAUAGUGCCAAACGUCUGGCAGAGUCACUAGUAGACCAUGGAGUUCGUCAAGGCUUCAUGAUUGUCGUUCCAGAGCAACCCAAAGAAAGCAACAACAACAAGAAAAAGUUUUGGAACAAAAGGAAGGGCCAAUCUUUGCAAGAUCCCUCAAAGAAGCAACAGAUAGUGGCAGUCCAUGCUGCUACUGUUCCUACUGCUGUUCCUAUUACCCCUUCACCAUCAAAACAUUAUGCUGGAAAUCUGCCAAAGUGCAACAAAUGUAAUUUCCAUCACAUUGGAAAUUGCCGUGAAAUACACUGCAAGAACUGCAACAGAAAGGGGCACACCGCCCGUUUCUGUAGGUCACCAGCACAACCAAUCACCCAAGUUCCUGGCGUUGGAGUAAGCCAGGCUUGUUAUGGGUGUGGUGAAACUGGACACUUCAAAAGAGAUUGUCCAAAGGCGAGGAAUGCGGGUGGUGUUGGAAGAAUACUGGCUAUAGGUCACGAAGAAGCCAUUGCAGAUCCUACUGUGGUCACGGGUACGUUUCUCCUCAACAAUUCAUACGCAUGCCUUCUAUUUGAUAGUGGUGCGGAGAGAAGCUUUGUGAGCCAUAAAUUUGAACACUUAAACAAAAUUCCCAACCAUUAAAAGAUACCUUAACCGUAGAAAUGGCAAACGAAAGGACAGAGAACACUAACGACAUAUACAUAGGAUGUACCCUUACUCUAAAUAACUUUUCCUUCCCAAUUGACCUUAUGCCGGUUUCCAUAAAAAGUUUUGACAUCAUCAUUGGUAUGGAUUGGUUAAGUCCUAAUCAUGCUGAUAUCCUAUGUUACGAAAAAGCCAUUCACCUUAACCUGCCAAGUAAUGAAACCCUCAUUAUUUACGGUGACAAACCCAGUACAAACCUACAAAUCAUUUCCUACGUCAAAGCCCAAAAGCAUAUUCACAAAGAGUACUGUGCCUUUCUAGCUCACUUAGUAGACAAGAAACAAGAAGUAAAAGACAUCGAGAGCAUUCCCGAAGUCUAUAAUUUCUCCAACAUAUUUACCGAAGAUCUUCCAGGAGUAACACCAGAGCGACAAGUCGAGUUCAGAAUCAACUUGAUUCCCGGAGCUACCCCCAUAGCUAGAUCCCCGUACCGUUUAGCACCGUCAGAGAUGCAGGAACUAUCCAGCCAAUUGAAUGAACUUCCCAGCAAAGGAUUCAUCAGACCGAGCUUCUCACUCUGGGGAGCACCGGUCUUGUUCGUGAAGAAGAAGGAUGGAUCUUUCUGUAUGUGCAUAGACUACUGCGAGCUAAACAAACUCACUAUCAAGAACCGACAUCCCUUGCCUCAUAUUGAUGAUCUAUUCGACCAACUCUUAGGAGCAAGUUAUUUUUCAAAGAUUGACUUAAGAUAAGGGUAUCACCAGUUACAAGUUCUAGAAGAGGAUGUUCCCAAAACAACAUUCAGAACUCGUUAUGGUCACUAUGAGUUUGUAGUAAUGCCCUUCAGACUAACGAAUGCACCCGUAGUGUUCAUGGACUUAAUGAACAGGGUAUGCCGUCCUUACUUGGACAAAUUCGUGAUAGUCUUCAGAGAUGAUAUCCUUAUCUACUCACGAAGUAAGGAGGAGCAUAUUCAACACCUCUAACAUGUAUUGGAAACAUUGAGAGCGGAGUAUUUAUAUGCGAAGUUCUCAAAGUGGGAGUUUUGGAUUCAGAAAGUAGAUUUCUUAGGUCACGUGGUCAGCGAAGAAGGAAUACACGUGGACCCUUCCAAAAUAAAGGAAAUCAAGAACUGGUCAGCACCCAGAACACCGAUAGAAAUCCGCCAAUUCUUAGGCCUUGCUGGAUAUUAUCGCAGAUUCAUUAAGAACUUCUCCCGAGUCGCUAAGCCACUUACCACUUCGACACAAAAGGGUGUAACUUUUAGCUGGGGAGAAAAACAAGAAACUGCGUUCCAAACGCUGAAGCAAGCCCUGUGCAACGCACCUAUUUUGUCUCUCCCAGAAAGGACAACAGACUUUGUAGUAUACUGCGAUAGGUCUAACCAAGGGCUAGGCUGUAUUCUUAUGCAGCAAGGAAAGGUCAUAUCCUAUGCCCCAAGACAGAUUAAGACACACGAGGUCAACUAUACCACUCACAACCUCGAAUUGGGAGUAAUAAUAUUUGCUCUGAAGAUCUGGAGACAUUACCUUUAUGGCACGAAAUGCAUAAUAUUCAUGGACCAUAAAAGUCUUCAGCAUAUCUUCAACCAGAAAGAACUAAACAUGAGACAACGACAUUGGGUGGAGCUAGUAAACGAUUACAAAUGCGAGAUUCGUUAUCAUCCUGACAAAGCCAAUGUAGUAGUUGAUGACCUCAAUAGAAAAGAAUACCCGGGUCGUCGAGUAAAUUCGUUGACCAUGACUAUCCAUUCACACCUGUCCACAUAGAUCCAUGAGGCCCAAUUGGAAGCUUUGAAACCUGAGAAUGUGGCAGGUGAAACCUUAAGAGGAAUGGAUAAAAACUUAGAAGUCAAAAGUGAUGGAGUCCGUUAUCUCAUUAACCGAAUCUGGACACCAAAGUUUGGUGGUUACAGAGAGGUUGUCAUGAACGAAGCACACAAGACUCGAUACUCCGUUCACCCAGGUUCAGACAAGAUGUAUCUGCACCUUAUGAAACUUUAUUGGUGGCCGAACAUGAAAGCUGAAAUUGCUACCGAUGUGGGCAAGUGUCUGACUUGCACCAAAGUCAAUGUGGAAUAUCAAAAGCCUUUGAGUCUACUACAACAACUAGAAAUCCCCGAAUGGAAGUGAGAUCAGAUUACAAUGGAUUUUAUAACUAUGUUACCUAAGACAACGGGUGGUCAUGACACCAUUUGUGUAAUUGUCGAAAGAUUAACCAAGUCCGCGCACUUCCUCCCAAUAAAGGAAAAAGCCGAGAUGGAGAAAAUGACUAGAUCAUACAUCAGGGAGAUAGUAUGACUGCACGAUGUACCAAUAUCCAUUAUCUCUGACCGAGAUAGUAGAUUGUGACAACCGUCAAAAUUCAAGUCGGUUCUAGAUUUGACCAAACUUAGUUGUAUGUAUUGGCACGACACAUACUAGACUUAGUAACUAGAAGCUAUGUUAUAACCUACUAGAAGCUUGGAAACAAGUAGAAUUGAAGGAUAGUGUACUUAGACUUCGCAUUGAUAUGUGAAUUCUACAACUACUUAACUGUAGUGACUAUCAUAUUCGGGUCACUCUUCGAAUCGAACAACUUUUCAUAAAUCAUAUACACACAUCAUGCACUUGACCUAGAAGUAGAAAUUAGGUUAAAGUCUCAUAGAAACUUAAGUCAAAGUUAAAGACUAGGACUAGUAUACUUGAUUCCCCAAUUUCGCUUGAAUCUCAGAAUCACUACAUAGAAUGUCAAUAAACCGGUAAAAAAUUAAAUUACAAACAUUAUUUCUAAUUUGAAUAAGAGUUAUGAAACUCAAAAAUAAUAUAAAGUCUCAAAGAUUCAAUUUAUUUUUAUAUCCAAAGAUUUAUCAAACUCCAAAACCCUUAAAUUCCCUAAACACCUAAUUUUAUAAACCUUAACCUCAAAAACUCUAUGAAAAUAAUUAUGAAACUUAUAAUAUUAUCUUAUAAUAAUUAAUAUUAUGAAAAUGCAUUCAAAGAAAAUAAAAUUUAACUCAUUAACAUUUACCCUUAAAUUAUAAAUCAAAAAUCAAGGUUUUAUGAAUAAAAAAAUGAUUUUAGUGCAUAUUUUAUAUAAAAAUUGAGAUAUCUUAUAAAAUAAUUUAAAUUUUAAAAAAAUAAAUGACAGAGAAAGGGAUAUUACACCUCAAAAAUCGGCCCACUAUCUCUCCUCCUUCAAAGAUUAUCUUCCCAACACACACUAAAUGAUUUCCUUUCUCCCACACUCCACCUCGUCCCUCAUUCUCUCUCAUUUCUCUCUCACACUCCCACACACAUUUUCUCUUUUCCUCUCUCUAUGAACCAUAGAAUUUUCCAGCAAACAAGUCCCAGAACACUCAAGAUACUCAAAAUCUUCUUCAUCUAGUGGUGUUCAUUAAGGUAGAACAUGAUUUUCUUUCGUGUUCCUUCAAGUUUUCAUGGAUUUUCUUGCAUUUCCUUCUUCUUCUACACCUUUAUCUUAGAAAAUUUGUAUGCAUGUUCAUUCACUUCAGUUUUGAUGAUGAUGGUGGUAGGAUUUAACCCGAAAGCAACAUGCAUGUUGCUAAUGGUGAAGUCUCAUGACCAAAACCUAAGUCAAAAUCAACAUAAUGCACUUUUCUACAUGUUUUGGUGGAAAAUCACCACAUGUAUCCUAAGUAUAUUUUCAAAAAUGACUUUUGAACAUUUCAAACUCAUGAAUGGUCUUCAAACCAACAUGCAUGUGAUGAUCUUCAAGCUCAGAUGCUAGAUGAUCAAAGUUUGUUGUUAAAAGCUUUCAAAUAUGUUCAUAAAGGAUUUAUUCCCAAAUAAAUAUCUAAAGCUCCUUUUCUGAUCAAAUCCUAUUUUUCCCAGAAUCCCACCAACAAAAUAAGAUGAUUUAUAAAUUUUCAAAAAAUAAUUCACUACUCUCGAAUUAUUAUAAUUAUUUCAAGAAAAAAGAGCAAUAAUUCAUAUAAAAUACUUUCCAAGGUCUAUAAAUCCUAGAUAAAUUCUUGGAUGACCCCUAAAGUAAAUAAUGACAUCUCAUUUCAUCGAUUUUUGCUACUGUUUAGUAUGGUUUUGAAUUUUCUUUUUGUUUAGUUCCAGUAAAUCAUGAAACCACUUUAGGAAAUGUGAAAAUAUUAUCUUUUUUAAUCACAACUCCUACCCUAUGUGGAAGACUUUGAAAAAUAUUUUGGGAAUUUUUCAAAAUGUAUAUCUAUUUUUCCAUGAUUUUUGUGUUUAUAAUGGACUAAAAAAAGGGAAAAAUAGUUAUACUCAUCCAAAAUUCAUGAAAAUUUACCAGAAAACCUUAUAAUAUAAUAGGGUGCUAAGUAAAAAUUUGGAUAAUUUUUCUCUUCUGUAUGCUAUUUUUCUUCUAUUUUUCUAAGAUUAAAUGCACUUAAAUCCGCAAAAUCAUACUCUAAUAUAUAAAAAUCACCUUUGGUAUUUUUCUCAAGUUAUGUACACUGUAAAUGAAGUUUACAAAAGUUUUUGUAAUUUAAUUUAACUGUUUAAUACUUAUUCACCAAUUAAUAAUUAUUUAAGAGAAUAAAACAAAGAAAAAUAGCCAAACUAAUUGAAAAAUAUCUUUUAUAAAUUUUCACAGCUUCUAUAUGUUUAAUGAUAGUGCUACAAAAAGUUUGGGUAAUUUUGGAAACUGUUUUCUAUUUAUCUCCAUUUUUAUUAGAAUAAAUGCACAAAAAUCAUAUAAUCAGGUUAUACUGAGUAAGACUCAGAACCCGAGUACAGUGGCUGAGAUAGCUGAGAUGAGUCGAGUACCGUAUGCUUCUGCUGUAGGCUCGAUCAUGUAUGCUAUGACUUGUACUCGUCCUGAUGUGGCCUUUACUAUGAGCAUGGUCAGCGGAUAUCAGGGGAACCCUGGUAAGGCUCACUGGACUGCGGUAAAGAACAUUCUCAAGUACCUGUGGAGGACUAAGGACUGGGUCCUUACCCUUGGUGGGAGUGAUGACUUGAGAGUAGUUGGGUAUAAUGAUGCCAACUUUUAGACUGACAUGGAUAAUUUUUGCUCUCAGUCAGGCUGCGUCUUUACCCUAAAUGGAGGAGCAAUUACUUGGAAAAGUUCCAAGCAGGAGAUAGUAGCUGAUUCAACUUGAGAAUCAAAGUACAUAGCAGCAAGCGAGGCGGCGAAGGAGGCAAUAUGGCUGAAGAACUUCAUUGGAGACCUUGGAGUUGUACCAACUAUUAAGGAGUCUAUGGAGAUUUUCUGUGAUAACGAGAGUGCAGUUGCCUUAGCCAAGAAACCAAGGGAUCAUGGUAGAUUCGGGCACAUCGACAGAAAAUACCACUUCAUUAGACAACGGAUUGAAGAAGGAAUCCUCGUGGCAAAGAGGGUAUCAUCAGAUGAGAACUCAACAGAUCCCCUCACGAAGGGACUGUGUAGGGUUAAGCAUUUACAGCAUGCGAGGCGCAUUGGGAUGAAGGAUGAUAUUAGUUUUAGUAAUUAGAUAGCUUUCGAAACUUGUAAUAGUUGAAAUGUAAUUAACAUUUGAUGUUCAAAUAAAAGGUGUUUUUAUUUACUAGUAUGGUACUGUCUUGUGUCAAUCAUUUACUAUUGUUUCAUUUUGCAUGUUUUGACUUCCAUAAUAAUCAUGUUAUGGUAUAUCAUAUUAUUCAAACUAUCCACUGUCGAUCAUACUUUGGAAGUAGGUAUUGAAAUAAGACUGUCAUGGAUUGGGCUUGUAGAUUUGUCUGAAUUGUAUUAGACAUAGCAAUUGUUGCUGCAACAUUCAUGAGUACUCAUAAGUUAUGAGUAUUGAAUUCAACCUACGCUCACUUGUAUCACUUCAUGGAAUUUAUCUCGAGUGAUCGUGAGAUGGUAAUAUCAUAUAAUUCUUGAAACCAAGAGCUAUGAGUUGUUGACUAUGAGUUGGUUGUACAUUGAUAGUACGAAAACGCAUUAGUAACUUGAUGUUAUAAAACGUGCUGUUGUGUACAAUUUGACGAUUAGUUAGUACAAGCAUAUGAUUCGAAGUUUAUCUAUUCCUUUUAGUCCUUGGAGGAUUAAAAGCGAUAUCUUGGGCCCCUCGAUGAUUUUUUUGACCUAUGUACCGGGCCUGGUCAAAACUAAAUUGAUGUGUUCGAUUAAGUUCUACGUCAAACAAAUAGGAAAUUGGGAAACAAACUGCUGGACAAUAAGUACGACAUUGUUCCAUGUAUUUGUCCGGCUGAGAUCUUAAACAGAGGAUUAUAUGAUCACUUAUCUUAAAUGGCAGGUCAUCUAAGUUCCGCGAGACUUUGAAAGAUCUACGAUUGCUGAUCGGAUCCUGAAGUCAUACUUGCAGCUAUAGUUAUUAGACUUAUCCAAGUGGGAGUCUGUUGGAUAAGGUGUCUAAGUCCAUAACUAUAUCUGGUAUGUACUUGACCCGAUUUGGCAGGGUCCAUUUGGGUUGCAUGGCAUCGUAACAAUUGGAUAGACAAAAUGAGAAAAAGGACACUUAUGAUUUGUUAAUAUAUUAUACACUCUAAUAUAUUAAUAUGAAAUCAUAUUAUUUAAUUAGUAUUGAUAAAUAAUUAAUUUGGAAUUAAUUUUGUGAUCAAAAGAGACUAAUUAAAUAUAUGGGGAUAGAUUGUGUAAAUCAUUCAUUCUUAUAUAGUGGGCUUAUGAUCCAUGGUUGAUUGGAUUGGGCUAAAACCCAUAGGGUGCUCCAUGGAGGUUAAAACCCAUGGAUCAUGGAGGAAAUGAAAAGCCAUGCACAUUAGGGUUUGCAUGGUGUAACCCUACAUGUGACACACUAUAUAAAGACGCCAUAGGCUAGCAAAAUCAGCACUAAGACUAGAACAAGGAUGGAUAGCCGAUUUUGUGGUGAAGUGUUCUUCUCUCAAGUUAUUCCAAGAGUUUUGGUUUUGUGUGAAACACUUGAGGCAUCAUGUUUGGGGUGCUAGGAUCACAAGGUGUUAAGGAAUCAAAGCUACAAGAAAGGUAUGUCAUUCUACUAGAUUUUUGUAUUACAUAUACACCAUGAUAUGCUAGUAGGAUGAAACCUUGGAAAAAUCAAAGUUUUGAUGUAUAAUAGAAAAAACAUAAACCCAAGGAUUAUAGGGUUGCAUGCACACCAUAGGAGUGUUAGAAUGCUCAAAACCCAUCAAUAAAUGUAUCACCUUUAGCUGUUGUAUGAAAACCAUAUAACACAAGUGGAGCACUAACUCUAUUGGAAUGCCUCAGGGGUACGGACUCGUCAAUUGGCUCAACCAGAGUUUCCUCCUCGGGUUGAGUGCUAGUUUUUGAGGUUCCUUCAUCGUUUAACUCUUAAAGCUCUUCAUGGUCAACUUGCCUCCUACUGUCCUCUUGGCAUAUGAGUUCUCUCUCGCGAAGGAAUCCUCUCCUUGCAAUGAAGACAUCAUUGUCACUCGAUCUAUAAAAGAGAUAUCCAAAGGACUUCUGCAGGUAGCCAAUGAAAAUACAUCGCUCACUCCGAGGUUCGAGCUUUUUGUGAGUCUUGCAUCUCACGAAAGCCUCGCAACUCUAAACCUUGAUGUUGUCUAACGAGGGAACCUUCCCUGUCCACAUCUCGUGAGGUGUUUUGGAAAUCUUUUUGGUAGGGACUAGAUUAAGGAUAUGGGCGGCAGUCUCUAAGGCAUACUCCUAGAAUGAGAUAGGUAACAAAGCUCGACUCAUCAUGGAACGAACCAUGUCUAGCAAGGUUCGAUUGCGCCUCUCAGCCACACCAUUAAGCUGUGGUGUCCUAGGUGGCGUUAGUUGUGAAACAACUCCACAUUCCUUUAGAUAGUCUAGGAACUCGAUACUAAGAUACUCUACUCCAUGAUCAGAUCACAACAUCUUUAUCUUCUUGCCCAAUUGAUUAUCCACUUCUUGCUUAAAACUCCUUGAACUUUUCAAAAGUUUCUGACUUAUGUUUGAUGAAGUAGAUAUAGCCAUAUCUAUUGUAUUCAUCAGUGAAAGUCACAUAGAAGCAGUUAGCAUCCCUUGUGGCGGUUCUGAAUGGUCCACACACAUAAGUGUGUAUGAGAUCCAACUAACCUUCACCCCUUUCACAAGUACCGGUGAAGGGUGACUUGGUCAUCUUACCAAGUAAACAAGAUUCGCAAGUGUCAUUCGACUUCAAGUCGAAUGACUCCAAGACUCCAUCCUUUUGGAGUUGGGCUAUGCGCUUUUUUUUGACAUGUCCAAGACGACAAUGCCACUUGCAUGCCUUGUCCAAAACAUUGGAAGAAUCAAUAUUCAACACAUUAUUUCCUAAGUUAUCUACAACCAUCACAGUUUCAUAUAUACCAUUACAAGGUAACGCUUCAAAAUAAAAACACCAUUAUAAUAAGCAUUAAUACUACCAACUUCAUUAUUAAAAGAAAAGGUAAAACCUUGUUUAUACAAACUAUGAAAGGAAAUAAUGUUUCUCGCCAUAUCGGCCAAGUUACAACAAUUAUUCAAAUCUAAAUUUAAACCAUUACUAAGCAAUUAAGAAUAAACUCCAAUCUUGGUCACAAAUAACACUUUCCUGUUUCCCAUGAUUAAGUUUAUCUUCCCGUGCUCAAAAUCCCUACUUUUUUUUUAGUCUCUGCAAAUCAGAACAAAUGUGAAAUCCGCAACCUGUAUCAAGGACCCAAGAAUUUGCAUGUGAUGAAUUAUUAGAUUGAAUAGUGUAAAUAAAUGAAAAUGAGGGCUUGAUCUUUCCAUCCUUUAUAUCUUGCAAGUACUUGGGGCAGCUUCAUUUCCAGUGCCCUUUUUCAUGACAGUGGAAGAACUCUGCAUCCUUUGGAUUGGAAUAGGGAUUAGUAGAACCAGCUUUGGUCCCACUGGAAGAGGAUCCAUCAAGAGACUUUCCCUUGCGGCUCUUGUACGGAGCCUUUCUCUUCUUUCCCUUCCCAUGUCCAAUUACCAGAACAGGGGCAUAAGUAGUAGUAGUAGGAGUACACACAACCGACUUGCCUUUCAAGUUUCUUUCUGUAGUUCUUAAAAGGCCUUGAAGCUUGCUAAGAGUGACCAAUUCCUUAUUCAUAUGAUAGGUUAUACGAAACUGAUCAUAACAAGAAGGUAAAGAGUGUAGAAUAAUAUAUGUGGCUAACUCUUCAUCAAAAUUAACAUUCAAUUUAAGCAAGAGGUCCACAUAUCUCUGCAUCUUUUGCAAGUGGGACGUGAUGGGCUCUCCAUCCUUUGUUUUGGUUGUGAUCAUGGAGGCAAUGAUCUCAUACGUAUCCUACCAGCACUUUGAUGGUAUCUUUCCAUCAAAUCUUGAUACAUUUCAAAAGGAUAGUAGUCAUCAUAGGACUUCUGUAGCUUAGCAGUCAUGGUAGCAAUCACUAGACACAACACCUUUGUUGCAUCCCUCUCAUGAGUAGUGUGUUCAACGAUCUGUUCGGGGGUAGCAGUGGUUACAUCAAUCUCCUUAAUCUCUUUAUCUAGGAAAUCUUCUUUGUCCUCAUAGCGAAUAGCCAUUAAGAUGUUUCGAAUCCAGUCAUUGAAGUUCGAGCCAUCAAAAAUGACCCUCCCACAUAGGUUUGUGAGGAGAAAGAGCCUGGAGGGAUUGGGUUGGAAGCAUUGUUUGGGAUACACAUCUGAAAAAGAAUAAGAACAAAGUUUAGAUUAGAUGAGAAUCCUUAAUAUUACACCCAAAUGAAAUAUUAAGGCUAGGACCCAACACAAUAAUCUACAAUUGCGAAGAGGGAUGCCGUAAUCCAAUUGUAAAACAUUUGAAGGUAGGUAAAUGACGAUUUACCAAUUUCCACCAUGAAAAACGAAAUUGAUUAUUAAGUUUUAAUUGGAUUGAAAUUCCUAGAUCGUUUGAGAUUCAUUGAACUUUUCAAUGGCAUGUUUAAAUCUCGAUUGUGCCCUUCAAGUUUGUGACUGGGAUGCUGAGGAUCACAAAGAAGGUGUGAAUAACCAUGCAAAUUAGCUUGGUACACUCAAUGUUACAAAUCACCUAAUUAAUGUGCCGGUCAACCACACACGCUCCAAUAAUAAUUUAACAAGGUGCAAAGUGUAAUUUUAUGGAUUAACACCAUUUUACAUUUUCCUAAAGUAACUAAGAUUGGGAAUUUAAUAAAAGUUUAGCUACUUUAUAUUUAUCAUUAUAGUUUUAAUGAGAAUUAAUGUCUUAUCCUACCCGUUCGGCUAACCACUCUCCACCAAUCAAGGAAGCGGUGGGUGAGAGUGGACACCCAUUAAACCACCAUUUUAUAGGCAGUAACCAUAUACCCCCUUAUAGACCGACUUCGUGAAUGAGGCCUACUAACGGUAAGACUGACUUGUCUUAUAUAUAUAUAUAUAUAUAUAUAUANCAUGGAGGUGUAUAUAUAUAUAUAUAUAUUAUAAAACUUAUGAUAUUAUAAAGUAUAAGGGUUAAAUUUCAACUUUUAAAACUCUAGGGUCUGGAAUUAAAGUUUCAUUAGUGAGACUCCACAAAUUCCAGAACUUGAGGGCAAGUUUUGAAACUUGUCAAAACUCUUCGUAUUCAUAACUUAUGAGUUUAAUGCAUUUUUAAAGAUGAGACUAUUCAUUUUUCAUAACUUGAAGAAAAGUUAUGGAAGACAUUAAAGACAUUAAGAUCAACAUUUUAAUUAACUAACAAAAAUUAUCAAGUAAUUUACCUAUGAUCUAGUUAAACUCAUAAGUCAAGAUAAUUCAUAUCAACAAUUUUACAGGAAAUUAGCCUAUCACAUAAACUAAUACAAAUCUUCAAAUUUUGACAAUUAUCUUUUAAUUGGAUGAGCAUGAUCACUACCAUAUAAAAGAAAAUAGAUUUUAUGAUUCAAAACAGUUUGUGGCCGCAAAUUGAGUUUACGGUCGUAAGCUCUUCACGACCGUAAGCUUGGGCCGUAAAUUCCGACAAACCAUUUUUCGUCGAUUUUAGGCUCAAAAAUCGUUUAAUUGCUGAAACAAACACAUAUUCAUGGUCGAAAACAUGAUACCUUCGAAGCUAUCCGAGCAAUUUCACUAAAAAACGAUUUUUUGAGGAGAGAGAGAGAAGGAGAGUUUGCGGCUGGAAAUCAUAAAGUGAGGAUGAUCCCGACUGUAAACUCCUUAAAUAUCCAAGAUUCCUUUACCUGCUGGCCACACAGUGUAAGACACAGUCCAAGUGUUUCAAAAAUUUAAAAAAUAAAACUUUUGAGGAUUAAAAUUGAAACUUAAAAUUAAAAUUAAAACUUAAAAUUAAAAAUAAAAAUAAAAUAAAGUAAAAUAAAAUUAAUUUGUAAAAUUUAAAAUUAAAAAUUAACAGUUAAAUUUUAACAAUUAACAAAAAGAAAAAUUAAUAAUAAAAUAAAAAUAAAAAUAAAAUAAAAUAAAAUCAAAUCAAAUAAAAUACACAACAAAACAAAAGAAUUUAAUUACUGAGAAUAAAUUUUUGACUCUGGGAUCAAAGUUGUUGAACAACCCUAUUCCACUUGUCGGUACCCUUAUUUUCACGUCUUCGUCUGAUCGAUCGCCAAUAUUGUUGUCCACAUAAGCACGAAACAUUUAUGACAGAAUUUGGACAAUUUACCAAUAGCAUGACAUUUUUAGCCCUUAUUCUUAAAUAAAUUUCUUAGGGACCAUUUAGUUGACGACAACCAGGGAUAUUGUUGUCCGCCUAAAUUGAGNUCCUUGAGGCCAUUUAACUGACUACAACCAAGCAUAUUGUUGUCCACCUAAAUUGAGUAGCGAAAUCUACAGACAAUCUAUAUGAGCUCAAUUUUAAUUGUAUUAGAACGUGUUUCCCACUUCCUUAUAUGCUCUAGCCAUCAAGGACUUCCAUAAUACUCCUUACACCGAGUGAGCAGACAAUUAUUAAGAAAGAAAAUAGAUUUAGAAUGCAUAUGCUAUACAUCCAGUUCGGAUCUCUUCCAAUCACGCAGAGGAUGAAACAUAUGACUAACUGAAUUUUAGAGGGUUUGAGAAGAGAAUGUUGCAUAUACUGUGUACCAGGUCGGAUUUUGAGUCACGCAGAGGAGACANAGUAUAUGACAACAGAUAGAAAGAAUUGCAUAGGGAGAAGAUGCAGAGAGAUAGAAUUGCAUAUGUUAUAGUCCAGGUCGGAUCUCUCGAUCACGCAGAGGAGGUAACAUAUGAUUAACAAACAGAAAGCAAGAAAAUAACCAUCUACAGACCCAGUUUAUCGGAAUUCCCCAGUCACCCCAUCAAAACCGGAAUUAAGGACAGAAUCCACACAUCAAGGAAAAGUUAGUCCACAGUUCUAGAUACGGGUUCUUCUAAUGUGACCGUUAGAUUCUCAUGUAUAUUUCCCUGCUCUACCUAUCCGAGCGUCGUAAUGUCAGGCUAAACGGAUCUAACUAGGUCAAUAUUUGUCAAGUCUUUGAAUUUCUUAAGUUCAACUCUCCCUAGUCAAGUCCAUUUAAAAUAUUUCGUGCCUACCAACGCAUCGAGCAUAGAGCGUAGACAAUUCAAUUUAGGUACGUUACACAGAUUCAGAUUGCCCGUUAUCACUUGCUAAUAUCAUUUCCGUCACAACACCUACAAACAAAACUAUCAACAAUAUUUUUAAAUUUCUGGAUUUUUAUUGUUUUUGGAUUUUUGAAUUUUUUUUAUUGUUUUUGGAUUUUUGAAAUUUUGAUUGUUUUUGGAUUUUUGAAUAUUUCUCCCCCUAAAUUUGUGCAUGGGUGAGAAUAAAAAUAAAAGAAAAUAAAAUGCGCAAAUUUAAACCAACCUACCUAAAAAAACAAAAAUAAAUUAAAAAAAAUUAAGAAGAAUUAAGAAAAAAAAACAGAAAAACUUAAUCCUCAAAACGAAUCAUUUUCAGAAAUCCCACAAGCACAUCGAAACGAGCUUUGUUAAAAGGCUUAGUGAACAGAUCCGCCACAUUAUUAGCAGUGGAAACCUGUUCCAGCCGGAUUAGUGAAUGUUCAUAACAAUCUCUGAUGAAAUGAAUUUUAAUAUCGAUGUGCUUGGUUUUAGAAUGUUGGACUGGAUUUUUGGCAAUUUGAAUUGCGGCCUCAUUAUCAUAGUAAAUGGGGGUUUCUAAGUAAUUCAAACCAUAGUCCAACAACUGAUAUUGGAUCCAAAUAACUUGAGAACAACAGGCAGAUGCAACAACAUAUUCCGCCUCCGCUGUUGAGGUUGAGACAACGUGUUGCUUCUUGCAUUGCCAUGACACUAGUCUGUCACCAAGAUAUUGACACCCUCUUGAAGUAGAUUUCCUGUCAAGCUCACAACCUCCAUAAUUACCGUCAGCAAAAGCAUAUAAAUCAAAUUCAGAAUUCUUCGGAUACCAAUGACCCAAUUUUGGGCUACCUUUGAUAUACCGAAAAAUUCUUUUGACAGCAAUAAGAUGUGAAAGUUUAGGAUUAGCCUGAUAACGUGCGCAUUGACAAACUGCAAACAUAAUGUUUAGACGGCUUGCAGUAAGAUACAUCAACGAUCCGAUCAUCGAUCUGUAGAGAGUCUAAUCUACGGAGUCGCCAUCAGUAUCUAGAGUCAGAAGAGGUCUUUCAGACAUUGGCGUCGAUGUAGAUUUAGCGUCGUGAAACCCGAACUUCUCAAGAAUAUCCUCCACAUACUUGGCUUGAUGUAGCAGGAUUCCGAUUGAAUUUUGUUUGAAUUGAAGCCCCAAAAACAUGGCCAUUUCCCCCAACGAACUCAUUUCGAACCUCUUUUUCAUAACACCUUCGAAUUCCUUGCAAAGCUACAGACUGGUCGACCCAAAGAUAAUGUCGUCAACAUAGAAUUGAACCAGAAUCUGAUCAUUACCGACAUGCUUGAUAAACAAAGUUUGAUCGAUAGUGCCAUGAGCGUAUCCAUGCUCGAGCAAAUGCUUUGUUAGAGUCGCACACCACGCUCGAGGAGCUUGAUGCAACCCAUACAAUGCCUUGUCCAACUUGUAGACAUGAUUAGGAAACAUUGAGUCAACGAACCUAGGAAACAUUGAGUCAACGUAGAUUUCUUCCUUCACCUUUCCAUACAAGAAGGCAGUCUUGACGUCCAUUUGGUAAACGGUGAAGUUCAUGUAAGAAGCAUUUGCCAAAAUCUCCAGUUCAGAAUGAUACUCCUGAUGCUGAAACAACACCACUCACUCCUAUAGAAAGAGAGUUGAUGUCUAAAGAUGCUUCCGCUGUUACUUCAACCUUUAUGGAACUUCUCUUUCCUGAAAACAUUUCAAAUGAGUUUGUAGCAGAGUCGUCUGGCGCGGCUCAAUCAGCAAAUGAAGGAGGUGUCAAUAUUCACAAUUUUCCUGUCUCGCUUAAUGAUAUCAGCCAAGAAAUACCCUCAAGGAUUCAAUGUGAUCAUCCGAUCGAAAACAUCAUUGGUCAGCUGGGCGACGACGUUAAAACCAGAAGUCAGAGUGGAGAUGUCAAUACCUGUCUUUACUCUUGCUUUAUCUCUCAAAUAGAGCCCAAGAAUGUUGAAAUGGCUCUGAAUGAGCCCAGCUGGGCAGAUGCAAUGCAUGAAGAAUUACAUCAAAUUGAAAAACUCGGCGUUUGGAAGUUGGUUGAAUGCCAAAGGGCAUAAAGUCUCUUGACACACGAUGGGUCUAUCGAAACAAGUAGGAUGAUUCAGGGGUUAUAGUGCGAAAAUAUGGUUUAUACUUUGCUUUUCUAGGAAAAUGUAUUUUUGUGUCUUGGAUCAUAAACAACUUGGUGUGUACGGCCGUAUACGUGUUUAUGGUUGAGUUUACGGCCGUAAACCCAUUUACGGCCCAUGUUCCCCUUGUAUAUAUAUAGGUGUUAGGGUGAGGAGUAGGGAUUAAUGAACAAGGAGUGUACGGCCUAGAGAGAGAGAGAGAGAGAGAGAGAGAGAGAGAGAGAGAGAGAGAGAGAGAGAGAGAGAGAAGAACAAGUGUGUAUUAGUAUGUGUGAAUCUCUUGUAUCCGGAUCAUCAUUCUAUUUAUCAAUACAUUGAGAUUCAUAUUAUUCUUCUUCUCCUUCUCUUCUAUUUGAUCUGACAUCUCCCGUUUGAUUGGGAUUCCGCACCAUUAAAUGGACCUGAUUGAUACACAAGAAACUUAGGGACUUACAAUGAUGCUAAUCCAAUUUUGGCCAAAAACCUCGAAUUUCUGCACCCAAAGCCAUGAACUCGACGAGCGCAUGAACCUGACUCGCCGAGUAACCCUUUUACUGUGCGGACUCGUCGAGUUAGCCAGUGGACUCAACGAGUUCAUCAGUCAGAGGCCAGAAAAUCGAUUUUUUUCAACUUUGAAAACUAACAAGCAUAAAGUAUAAUAGAAAACAAUCCUAGGCUUUGAUACCACUGUUGGGUUUUGAGCACUAUAACACUCCUAUGGUGCACAUGCAACCCUAGAUGCUUUGGAUCUAUGUUUUCUCUAAUUAUACAUGUAUUUUCAUUUUUCCAAAGCAUUCACCCUAGCUAGCAUACAAUUGAAGCUAUACAAUAUAAAAACUAGUUUAGAUGGUUACCUCUUAUAUGUAGGGUGUAGUUCUUGACCUUUGAAGGCUCGAGCACCUCAAGUGUGAUGCCUCUAAUGGUUCACAAACACCAAAUGCAAGAGGAGGCUUGAGAGAAUAAUUUACUUAGCACAAAAUCAAUAUCACUCUCUUAGAAUGAAUGGUGCAACCGAUUUUGGCUCUAGGGGUGUGCUUUUAUAGUGAUACAAAUGCUAGGGUUACAUCGAUGCAAACCCUAAUACACCAUGACCUUUCACAUUCUUAGGCUCCAUGGGUUAAACCUCCAUGGACUAUCCAUAGAUUAUCUCAUUAGUUUAGCCCAUCCUAAAUAACCAUGGAUCAUUGGCCCACACUAUGAUAAUCAUUGAUUUACACAAUCAAUCCUAAUAUAUUUAAUUAGUCUCUUUUGAUCACAAAAUUAAUUCCAAAUUAAUUCUUGAUCAACACUAAUUAAAUAACAUGAUUUUUCAAUUAAUAUAUUAUACUUAUAAUAUAUUAAUAAAUCACAAAUAACCUUAUUCUCAAAAGUCCAUCCAAUCAAAUUGCACUGAUGAAGGCAACCCAAAAGGACCAUGCUACAAUCAGGUCAAGUACAUCCCAAUUAUAGUUAUGAGCUUAGACACCUAAUCCGUUAUAUAUAUANUAUAUAUAUAUAUAUAUAUAGGGUUAGGAUCAAAUGUGAAUCAUAAUUAUUGUGUGAAUGUAUGACCAAAUUAUAACCAUUAGAUUAAAAGAACGAAUGUAUAUAAUUUUAAGGUGCAUGCUAUUAAUAUGGACUAGCGUUUACUGUGUAACUACAAUUAAUUAAUUAUAUGAGUAAAUAUAUCACUUUAUUAAGAGAGAGAAUGAAAAAAUUACCUACAUUUUAGGCAACUAAGUCAAAUUAAUUAAUAUAAAUUAAAAUUUAAAAAUACAAAUUAAGAUUAGUUAAAAGUUUCCAAAAUUCAAUUUUUCUUAUUAUCAUUCUCAUUCAGGAAAAAUAAUUUUUUAAUUCAAUUUCCAUUCUUUUCAUGAGCAUUCUGGAUUAUUUAGGAAUAUGGUAUACUAAAUUUUGCAUAUUUGAAAUUCUUUUGGAUGAUUUUGUUGAUUAUUCUCCACUCUUUAAGAAUACAAACUAAUAGUUUUGAAAAUAACUUUUGAGGUCGAUUUUCUUGGAGAUUGUUUUGAACAUUCUCAAAUGGCACAAUUAAAUUUUCAUUCCUAUCAUUCUUAUUCUUGGAGAAUAAGACAUGAAUUACAAGUUUAUAAUCGAUAUUCUUUAAGCAUAAUAUUAACAAUCUUGAAAAAAAAACAUAUUCUUGAAGAAUAAGAAACUAAUUACAAGUGCAUAACUUACAUUCUUGAAUAAUAAUUUAACAUUCUUGAAAGAAAUAUAACAUGAAAUAAAUAAAGAAGGUAAAUAGCAAGUAUAAAAAUAUGACAUUCUUGUAAGAAUGAACAUAAUUUACAACUCCAAAUAUGAUAUUCUCUUAAGAAUGAAUUUAAAUUAUGUUGGGUUUAUGAAAAUCUGGUGAGCAUAUGAAGAAAAAACUUCACGAUUAAAGAAAGGACCCCAUUUUUUCCUCUACAAUUAUCCCUUGCUUGUGUGUUUAAAAAAAUCAAAAACCUACGCUUUAGAAAAGCCAUCACUUUUUAAUUGAGUCCAUAUACUUUGUUAAUUGAUGCUCCUCAAUUAUGUUAGAGUACCUAAACACAAAAAAACCAUUAAUUUUAAGGCUAUAUGAAAUAAAUGUUUAAAAAGGACAAGAUGAAAAUAAAAAUCACCAAAAUAGAGCUAAUAAUUUUUAUCAAACACUUAAAAUCAUCUACCGCCAGAAAUUAAUUAUAUUAAAAAAAAGUUUAGAUUAUAAUUUUAUAGAAAAAGAAAACAAUAUUCAAAGCCGUUUACAUGAAACAAGUCAUAACACGAGCAUAGUCACAUGGAACACAUAAUGUUUCUGUAAGUGGAACAAAAAAGAAAUGAGCAUUGAGCAUUUCUAAAAUUCUGUACAAUAAAGAUAGAUUCAUUCGAAACACGAUCUUGAUACACGAAACAAUAUACCACAUAAUCUACUAAUAAAAACAGUAUAAUUAAAACACAAUAUAUUUAAACUAGCUUCGCUUCAUAAGGUUGAUGCUCAACAAAAGAAAUUCACCAUCCGAAUAGUUUAACCCAAUGAAUUGAAUUGUAUAUUAAAUCAAAUGUGUAUACGAAUGAAUAAAGUGAGUGAGUAAAAUCAAUUUAUUAAUAUUAAAGAAUCGGCAGCUUAUUUCCCAUCGGCGAUAGAAACUUCGAACAAUUUUAGUGCAUUGAGUUAAAUCAAUUAUUUGCACCCUCCUUAUUUAAUUGAUACAACUAGAAGUAAAAAAAAAACAAUUGAUCCAAAGGAAAGAAAACAAUCGGUGUUUGAAAUUAAUUUUGUGAAAUACAUAACCGAUCCCAUUGGUAUUCCAAAUCAAUAGUGGAAUCGGUACAAAAUUGAAGACGUUUGCACUAAAGUGGUGAUUUUGAACCAUGCACAUGAUAAUGAAAAGCACUGAUGAUGAAUUGAAAUGAAUAGUGCUUAGAAAACGAUAAAUAUAUAAAAUCUGUAACUGGUCCAUGAUUUAAGGAAAAAUAUGUAUAAAUAUAGAAUUAAUUUUUUUUUUGUUAUCAAAAUAAGUGAUUGGUCCAAAAUUGGUUAUACAUUCACACAAUAAUUAGAGUUUAUAUAUGAACCUAACUCUAUAUAUAUACACAAUCGGGUCAAGUACAUAGUAAUUAUAGUUAUGAGCUUAGACACCUAAUCCGACAAAUUGUUAUGCUUGUAUUGGAUGAUGAAAAUACUGCUCGUAGGGAACAAUGUCUCCAAUUUGCAAAUUGUAAUGUUUGGGAAUUGUCUUGCUAUAAUGGACAUAAGGGAGAGAGCACUCGUACUUCUUUACGAAUCUAAAUGUUUAGAUCAUAUAAUUUAAUAAAACAUAUUCAAAUACGUAUAUUAAUGGCAUGUUUAAAUAUUUCAACAUUAGAUAUUCUAUAUAUGGAAAUAGCAUAGUAAAAGACUGAAUAGAUAUUAAAUCCUUAUAUAAGAUAUAAUGAGACGAGUCUCAUAUGCUUCGAAUAUAGGAUUGAUUAAUUAUGCUAUAAUAUUCACUUAUUCUAAUUCUUCAAAUGCUCUAAGAGUUGUGUAGAAAAGGACUAGAAUGUUAAGUGGCUAGAGUUAUUAAAGAAACNUAUAUAUAUAUAUAUAUAUAUAUAUAUAUAUAUACAUCUAUAUAUAUGUAUAUGUAUAUGUUAUCAAUACUCAAAAGUUUUAGAUGGUAAAUAUAUAAUAUUUGUUGUUAUAAUAGGUAUGACGAGCUUCCCACAAGUCGCACAUGGUUCUUGUAGUAAAGAUUCUGACUGUGAUUUUAUUGAACCUCCUUGUCCUUUUGAUGCAUAUGCUGUAUGCAUUUGGAAAACCUGUUAUUGUAUUGGGUAUGAUCAAGCAAGGCCUCCUGCUAUUCCUACCAUUAACCAUAAUGAUGUUAAAGCUCAAGAGAAACAUUAUUAAUCUUAGGUUUUAUGCUUUGCCGAUUUAUACAUAGUCGCGAAUAACACAAGUGUAAAUAUAUUGAAGUGUUCAACUGAUGUGUUGAAAUAAAAUAUGUGUGAU